UACGUAGGUGGAAAGCGUUGUCCGGAAUUAUUGGGCGUAAAGCGCGAGCAGGCGGUACUUUAAGUAUGAUGUGAAAUCUUGCGGCUUAACCGCAAGCGGUCAUUGGAAACUGGGGGACUUGAGUACAGAAGAGGAGAGCGGAAUUCCACGUUUAGCUGUGAAAUGCGUAGAUAUGUGGAGGAACACCAGUGGCGAAGGCGGCUCUCUGGUCUGUGACUGACGCUGAGUCGCGAAAGCGUGGGGAGCAAACAGG
rnacentral:misc_RNA from 1 species